CUGUCUCUGUGGUCUUCUAGUGUCAGAACCCGCUGACAAUCUGUAAUUCCUGGUACAGCAGAGAUGCUUAAAGAAAGACACGCACACACACACAUCCAGUAAAAAUGAGCACCAUCUUUACUUUUUCUCUCCUUCUUUUAUACAGCAUUGUUAAUUAAAACAAGGGAAAAGAAAAAACAUCCUUUUGGCAGCUUAAUCCUUACAAGCAUGGAUAAACAUUCUCAGGAAAACUUUGUUUAUGGUCACAGUGCUCCGUAUUUCUUAUCAAUUAACUUGUGGUUAGUUAUUCCCAAACAAACACACAUAUAUAUAUAUAAAUUUUACACUUGGCAGAACAUUCUUUUAUCUUCUUAAGACAGCAACAAGGACACAGUUCAAAGAGUUCAUAUUUUCUCACAGAACUCCUUGUUUUGCUAAGCACAGCAAAACUUAACUGUUUGUGUGUGUGAGCACACAUUCUAGGUGUUCACCCAUCUUUAAAGUCUUGGUAUAUCUCUCCAAAGAGGACCUCAGGUGACACCUUCACACUGUUUACCCCAUCUCUACAGUCCCCCAGAGACCUUGGUCAUCUCUGCUCCAUCUCCAAUAGGCCAAUAGCUUUGAUGUCAUCAAUAGCAGAUUCUCACCCAGGCUGUUCAAGACCUUCCCAAGCCUGUUCAAAUGUACAGUUUAGAAUAUAAAGUCAGCAUCUUGAUGCUGCUCAGAAAUGCAUCAGACUAUCUGAGAAAUUAAAUGCCAGGAAGAGGCUUCUGGGGCCAGGGUGAUCUCAGGAGGGAGUAAGCCCUGCACACCAUCGGAAAGAUGGAAUGCCCACAUCUGCUCUGAUAUUUGGGGGUGUUCUUUCAUUUGAAGGCAAAACUGCUUUUUUUGAAAGAUGAAGGCAGGAACUAUUAGAGUUUUCAGAAAUACCUAAAGAAAGGCUUUACCUGUAUAUUCUGAGAUGGCAAGUCUAUAAAUCAGGCAGUAUCCAACCUCAUGUCCUGCAGAAAUGCUUAUCUAGGCCUUUGUCUCUCAGGGCCUACCUCUGGGGACCAUAAAUCAGGAGACUGUGGUGGGAUCUCUGUCAUUAGGAAGGUGCCCACCUCUGCCAGCUCAUCACUUGGGCCUGGACCCUUCUCCAGGAAUAUUCUGGUGAUGGCUGCUACAUGGAAGGGUAAAUUCUGUAAGCAAAGAGAUUUCACAACCCACUGGAGGGAGGAAGGAGCACAGCCCACAUGCAACACAAAUCUCAAGUAGGGAGGCAGACACAGCAUCCAGCCCAGCCAGCCCAGGCCACCUGAGCCAAGUUCAUCACUGCUGUGCCCCAGCCUCCCUCUCUACACCAUGGUCUCCAACUAAGGAAAAAGGGGAACUGAGCAGGAGAGAUGGCCCCACUGCCUGAGGGGAUGACAGCACCUGGCAGCAAGUAGCCUUGAAAUUGUGUCUUUUUCUGUAUAUCUGAGUUGGAAAUGCUAUAGGCCUGGGGAUUGUGGCUGUGUAGAGUAUGAUUUGGGGUCAUCUGGCAUUAGUGGUUGUGGUUGAGUGGGACAGGUUUUGUUGGCUCUAAUGGCUCAGCAAUGGGUGGGUUUGGGGACAAUGACCAAACCUGAGGGCAACAGCAGACAUUCUUGUCUUGUUCUAAUCC
rnacentral:lncRNA from 1 species